UUGCUGAUGUUGGAGCCCAGGUAAACAA
rnacentral:piRNA from 1 species